UACGUAGGGUGCGAGCGUUAAUCGGAAUUACUGGGCGUAAAGGGCGCGUAGGCGGCUCUGCGAGUCUUUUGUGAAAUCCCUCGGCUCAACUGAGGAUGUGCGGAAGAAACUGCAGGGCUGGAGUCCGGGAGAGGAGGGUGGAAUUCCCAGUGUAGCGGUGAAAUGCGUAGAUAUUGGGAGGAACACCGGUGGCGAAGGCGGCCCUCUGGACCGGUACUGACGCUGAUGCGCGAAAGCGUGGGGAGCAAACGGG
rnacentral:rRNA from 1 species